rnacentral:tRNA from 1 species
CGCGGAGUGGAGCAGUUGGUAGCUCGUCGGGCUCAUAACCCGAAGGUCGCAGGUUCAAGUCCUGUCUCCGCCA